UCUAAAACUCUGCUUUUUGUUUCUUAAUAUGUUAUUCCACUUGAAUAUCCAACUCAAAACUCUUUUUAGUUCUCUCACUUUCUCAGAGACAAACAUAAAGGCAUCAUCAUCGUAGAAGAGGCUGGAGAAAAAAGGAGGAAAAUGGAUUGUCACGGAAAUUGAAAUUCGUUCCAUUUGGAAGAUGGCGGUGGAACGAGAGAACGUUGAUUCGUUUAUGUAUAGUAAGUACGUGUCUUAGUCUAGAAUUUCCAUCUCUUGCUAAACUGGUGCAAGAGACUAGAUUACUACGUAUAUAGAUAGAGGGUAUGAAUGAUGCGUAGAUGUAUGUAUAGGGUUAUCAUGUGUGUAUAAGGUUAUUAUGUGUGUAUAGAUGUAUGUAUAAGGUAUGGAAGAGAUCAUGAAUGACGUGUAGAUGUAUGUAUAG